rnacentral:tRNA from 1 species
CGGGUAUUGGCGCAGUUGGCUAGCGUGUCAGGCUGGGGGUCUGAAGGUCGAGAGUUCAAGUCUCUCAUACCCGA